UACGAGGGGUGCAAGCGUUAAUCGGAUUUACUGGGCGUAAAGCGCGCGUAGGCGGCUUGUUAAGUCGGAUGUGAAAGCCCUGGGCUCAACCUAGGAACUGCAUUCGAUACUGGCGAGCUAGAGUACGAUAGAGGGUGGUAGAAUUCCUAGUGUAGCGGUGAAAUGCGUAGAUAUUAGGAGGAAUACCAGUGGCGAAGGCGGCCACCUGGAUCGAUACUGACGCUGAAGUGCGAAAGCGUGGGGAGCAAACAGG
rnacentral:rRNA from 1 species